rnacentral:rRNA from 1 species
UUACUCGGAAUUACUGGGCGUAAAGCGUGCGUAGGUGGUUCGUUAAGUCUGAUGUGAAAGCCCUGGGCUCAACCUGGGAACUGCAUUGGAUACUGGCGAUCUGGAGUGCGGUAGAGGGUAGCGGAAUUCCCGGUGUAGCAGUGAAAUGCGUAGAUAUCGGGAGGAACAUCCGUGGCGAAGGCGGCUACCUGGACCAGCACUGACACUGAGGCACGAAAGCGUGGGGAGCAAACAGGAUUAGAUACCCUGGUAGUC